GUGGGGAAUCUUCCGCAAUGGACGAAAGUCUGACGGAGCAACGCCGCGUGAGUGAUGAAGGUCUUCGGAUUGUAAAACUCUGUUGUCAGGGACGAAUGUGCGAACGUUGAAUAAGCGUUUGUAUUGACGGUACCUGACGAGGAAGCCACGGCUAACUACGUGCCAGCAGCCGCGGUAAUACGUAGGUGGCAAGCGUUGUCCGGAAUUAUUGGGCGUAAAGAGCAUGUAGGCGGGCUUUUAAGUCCGACGUGAAAAUGCGGGGCUUAACCCCGUAUGGCGUUGGAUACUGGAAGUCUUGAGUGCAGGAGAGGAAAGGGGAAUUCCCAGUGUAGCGGUGAAAUGCGUAGAUAUUGGGAGGAACACCAGUGGCGAAGGCGCCUUUCUGGACUGUGUCUGACGCUGAGAUGCGAAAGCCAGGGUAGCGAACGGGAUUAGAAACCCCGGUAGUCC
rnacentral:rRNA from 1 species